CCUACGGGGGCUGCAGUGGGGAAUAUUGGACAAUGGGGGCAACCCUGAUCCAGCCAUGCCGCGUGUGUGAAGAAGGCCCUCGGGUUGUAAAGCACUUUCAGUGAGGAAGAACGCCUGGUGGUUAAUACCCAUCAGGAAAGACAUCACUCACAGAAGAAGCACCGGCUAACUCCGUGUCAGCAGCCGCGGUAAUACGGAGGGUGCGAGCGUUAAUCGGAAUUACUGGGCGUAAAGCGCGCGUAGGUGGCUUGAUAAGCCGGUUGUGAAAGCCCCGGGCUCAACCUGGGAACGGCAUCCGGAACUGUCAAGCUAGAGUGCAGGAGAGGAAGGUAGAAUUCCCGGUGUAGCGGUGAAAUGCGUAGAGAUCGGGAGGAAUACCAGUGGCGAAGGCGGCCUUCUGGACUGACACUGACACUGAGGUGCGAAAGCGUGGGUAGCAAACAGGAUUAGAUACCCUGGUAGUC
rnacentral:rRNA from 1 species